rnacentral:rRNA from 1 species
CCGGUAAACGGCGGCCGUAACUAUAACGGUCCUAAGGUAGCGAAAUUCCUUGUCGGGUAAGUUCCGACCUGCACGAAUGGCGUAAUGAUGGCCAGGCUGUCUCCACCCGAGACUCAGUGAAAUUGAACUCGCUGUGAAGAUGCAGUGUACCCGCGGCAAGACGGAAAGACCCCGUGAACCUUUACUAUAGCUUGACACUGAACAUUGAGCCUUGAUGUGUAGGAUAGGUGGGAGGCUUUGAAGUGUGGACGCCAGUCUGCAUGGAGCCGACCUUGAAAUACCACCCUUUAAUGUUUGAUGUUCUAACGUUGGCCCCUGAUCGGGGUUGCGGACAGUGUCUGGUGGGUAGUUUGACUGGGGCGGUCUCCUCCUAAAGAGUAACGGAGGAGCACGAAGGUUGGCUAAUCCUGGUCGGACAUCAGGAGGUUAGUGCAAUGGCAUAAGCCAGCUUGACUGCGAGCGUGACGGCGCGAGCAGGUGCGAAAGCAGGUCAUAGUGAUCCGGUGGUUCUGAAUGGAAGGGCCAUCGCUCAACGGAUAAAAGGUACUCCGGGGAUAACAGGCUGAUACCGCCCAAGAGUUCAUAUCGACGGCGGUGUUUGGCACCUCGAUGUCGGCUCAUCACAUCCUGGGGCUGAAGUAGGUCCCAAGGGUAUGGCUGUUCGCCAUUUAAAGUGGUACGCGAGCUGGGUUUAGAACGUCGUGAGACAGUUCGGUCCCUAUCUGCCGUGGGCGCUGGAGAACUGAGGGGGGCUGCUCCUAGUACGAGAGGACCGGAGUGGACGCAUCACUGGUGUUCGGGUUGUCAUGCCAAUGGCACUGCCCGGUAGCUAAAUGCGGAAGAGAUAAGUGCUGAAAGCAUCUAAGCACGAAACUUGCCCCGAGAUGAGUUCUCCCUGACUCCUUGAGAGUCCUGAAGGAACGUUGAAGACGACGACGUUGAUAGGCCGGGUGUGUAAGCGCAGCGAUGCGUUGA